rnacentral:rRNA from 1 species
UACGUAGGUGACCAGCGUUGUCCGGAUUUACUGGGCGUAAAGAGCGCGCAGGCGGUCGUUCAAGUCGAGUGUGAAAGCCCCCGGCUCAACUGGGGAGGGUCACUCGAUACUGAUCGACUUGAAGGCAGGAGAGGGAAGCGGAAUUCCCGGUGUAGUGGUGAAAUGCGUAGAUAUCGGGAGGAACACCAGUGGCGAAGGCGACUACCUGGCCUGUUCUUGACGCUGAGGCGCGAAAGCUGGGGGAGCAAACGGGG